GAUGAACGCUGGCGGCGUGCUUAACACAUGCAAGUCGAACGGUGAACGAGGGAGCUUGCUCCCUCCGGAUCAGUGGCGAACGGGUGAGUAACACGUGAGCAAUCUGCCCUGGACUCUGGGAUAAGCGUUGGAAACGACGUCUAGUACCGGAUACGAGACGCGAAGGCAUCUUCAGUGUCUGGAAAGAACUUCGGUCCAGGAUGAGCUCGCGGCCUAUCAGGUAGUUGGUGAGGUAACGGCUCACCAAGCCUACGACGGGUAGCCGGCCUGAGAGGGUGACCGGCCACACUGGGACUGAGACACGGCCCAGACUCCUACGGGAGGCUGCAGUCGAGGAUAUUUAGCAAUGGGCGAAAGCCUGACUAUGUGACGCCGCGUGAGGGAUGAAGGCCUUCGGGUCGUAAACCUCUUUCGAUAGGGAAGAAUACCUGCACUAACACUGCAGAUUGACGGUACCUAGAGAAGAAGCCAUGGCUAACUCUGUGCCAGCCGCCGCGGUAAGAC
rnacentral:rRNA from 1 species